CUGCAACCUUGGUGUAUCUGGACAACACUCUAACCAAAUGAGCUACCCAGCCAGAGCCCAGCCAUGUGUUUUCAAGUCUGUCCACAUUGCUAUGCAUACAUCUAAUCUAUUGCUCCUGGCUGCUCAUGCUAACCAGUGUGCCUUCACCACAUUGUCCCUGAAUUUCCAUAAUGACUGACAGCAGGAUUACUUCUAGCUCCCAGAUACCACAAAUAAAUAAUACUGUGAUGCAAA